rnacentral:lncRNA from 1 species
GGGUAACUCUAUUUUCAACAUUUUGAGGAACAUCCAUACUGUUUUCCACAGUGGCUGCACCAGCUUGUAUUCCCAGUGUAAGAAUGUUUCCUAUUCUCCACAUCCUGGCUAACACUUGUCGUUUUCUUACUUGUUAGCCAUUCUGACUGGUGUGAGGUGGUAUCACACUGUGGUUUUGAUUUGUAUUUCCCUGAUGCCAAAUGAUAUUAAGCACUUUUUCAUGUGUCUAUUGGCCAUGUGGAUGUCUUCUUUGCAGAAAUGUCUAUUCAUGGCAUCUGCCCAUUUCUUGACUGGAUUAUUUGUUCUCUGGGUAUUGAGUUUGAUAAGUUCUUUAUAGAUUUUUGGAUACUAGCCCAUUACCUGAUAUGUCAUUGGCAAAUAUCUUCUCCAAUCUGUGGAUUGACUUUUGAUUUUGUUGACUGUUCCCUUUGCUGUGCAAAAGCUUUUGAUCUUGAUGAUGUCACAAUAGUUCAUUUUUGCGCUUGCUUCCCUUGCCUUUGGCAAUGUUUCUGGGAAGACGCUGUAGCUGAAGUCAAAGAGGUUGCUGCCUGUGUUCUCCACAAGGAUUUUGAUGGCUUCCUGUCUCACACUGAGGUGAGUUUUCUGCUUUGUCAUUUUGUCCAGAGAAGAAUAGAUGAAUGA